UACAGAGGGGGCAAGCGUUAUUCGGAAUUAUUGGGCGUAAAGGGCGCGUAGGCGGCUUGGCAAGUGGAAGGUGAAAUCCCUCGGCUUAACCGAGGAACUGCCCUCCAAACUGCUUGGCUUGAGACCGGGAGAGGUGAGUGGAAUUCCCAGUGUAGCGGUGAAAUGCGUAGAUAUUGGGAGGAACACCAGUGGCGAAGGCGGCUCACUGGACCGGUACUGACGCUGAUGCGCGAAAGCGUGGGGAGCAAACGGGGAUUGAAGC
rnacentral:rRNA from 1 species